GAGUUUGAUCCUGGCUCAGAACGAACACUGGCGGCGUGGAUUAGGCAUGCAAGUCGAACGAGAAAGUUCUCUUCGGAGAGCAAGUACAGUGGCGAACGGGUGAGUAACGGGUGGAAAACCUGCCCUUCAAUGGGGGAUAACAGUUCUAACGAGCUGCUAAUACCGCAUACGACCUUUGGAUCGCAUGGUCCGAAGGUGAAAGGUGGCGAUCUCUUCGGAGAGCUGCCGUUGAAGGAUGGUUCCGCCUCCCAUUAGCUUGUUGGUGGGGUAAUGGCCUACCAAGGCGACGAUGGGUAGCCGGCCUGAGAGGGUGUCCGGCCACACUGGGACUGAGAUACGGCCCAGACUCCUACGGGAGGCAGCAGUCGAGAAGCUUCCGCAAUGGGGGAAACCCUGACGGAGCGACGCCGCGUGAGUGAAGAAGGCCCUAUGGGUUGUAAAACUCUGUCAGAUUGGGAAGAAAGCACUGCGGUUAAUACCCGUGGUGUUUGACGGUACCAUCAGAGGAAGCACCGGCUAACUCCGUGCCAGCAGCCGCGGUAAUACGGAGGGUGCAAGCGUUGUUCGGAUUCACUGGGUAUAAAGGGUGCGCAGGCGGACUGAUAAGUCAGAGGUGAAAUAUGUCGGCUCAACCGGCAAACGGCCCCUGAAACUGCCAGUCUUGAGUUCGAGAGAGGUAGGUGGAAUUCCAGGUGUAGCGGUGAAAUGCGUAAAUAUCUGGAGGAACACCGGUGGCGAANGCGGCCUACUGGCUCGAUACUGACGCU
rnacentral:rRNA from 1 species